CAUCUUUUGCUAUAAAGAAUUGGUGAUCGUUCCUACCGCCAUUGCUUGAUGUGCUCAGUUUCUAUUGUCUAACAAAAUGACAUACGUUAGUCUAUGGGAAUAAACAUAUCACUUUUUUAGCAGACCACAUGAACGAAUGGGAUGGACCCCUAAAAAGUUAUUUCUAUAAACCAAUAGAGCUUAGAUCCUUCAUAGCUUAGAUUUUCAAAUUAUUUGUCUGUUCAAAGAAACGGAAAACCAGUGAUCAACAGAGAUCGAAAUUACUCCAGUACCCAGUCUGAACAAAUAAUAUUCUGUGUUGUGUGUCAUGUGCCGUCAAGGAGACAUUUUUGAGUUAACUACAAAUCAAUAUUGACAAAAAAAAUGAAAUUGGGGCAAUAGCACAAAAAAUGUGAACCAAAUAGCUCACUGCAAUUUGUAUAUAAAAUACUGUGCACUUAAUGAGAUCUGUAGUUUGCUAGACAAGAACAUUAUCUACUCACACUAAACCUAUUUUCCUGAUCUUACUGAUACGCAUCAAAGGAUUAGAGCUGCGCACAUGAACGAGCCUGGCAUCAGGACUCAAUACAAGUCAUCCAGCUAAUUUAACAUAGCAAGUAUACAGUAUGUUCCCUUUAAAUGAUAAGUUUAAAGAUAAUGAUACAUUCCAACUAGUUAUAUUAUGGUUGAAUGUCUCUAUUGAAGCACUUUGCAUCUCUGUUCUUCAAGUUGUGGAUUGAAAGUUGCAAUUAUCCACCGAAAAUGACAAUAAAAUUACCAAAAGUC